rnacentral:rRNA from 1 species
CGGACGGGUGAGUAACGCGUGGGUAACCUGCCUUGUACUGGGGGACAACAGUUAGAAAUGACUGCUAAUACCGCAUAAGCGCACAGUAUCGCAUGAUACGGUGUGAAAAACUCCGGUGGUACAAGAUGGACCCGCGUCUGAUUAGCUAGUUGGUAAGGUAACGGCUUACCAAGGCGACGAUCAGUAGCCGGCUUGAGAGAGUGAACGGCCACAUUGGGACUGAGACACGGCCCAA